ACGUAGGUGGCGAGCGUUGUCCGGAAUUACUGGGUGUAAAGGGAGCGCAGGCGGGGAGACAAGUCAGCUGUGAAAACUAUGGGCUUAACCCAUAAACUGCAGUUGAAACUGUUUUUCUUGAGUGGAGUAGAGGUAGGCGGAAUUCCGAGUGUAGCGGUGAAAGGCGUAGAUAGUCGGAGGAACACCGGUGGCGAGGGCGGCCUACAGGACUCUAACUGACGCUGAGGCUCGAAAGUGUGGGGAGCAAACAG
rnacentral:rRNA from 1 species